CGUUGUUCCCUUGUUAGUUUAGUAUAAAGUUAAACUGCUAGCUAAAAGUUUAAAACCAAGAAGGAUAAUAUUAACAGGAGAUAUGAACGAAAGAAUUGAACCAUGAUAAAACGCGACAUGCACUACAAAUUGAAGGUAUGAAAUUAAGUAAAAUGAAAGCUCGUUUAUUCACCAUAUGAUGCUCGUUAUAAGGUAAUCAUAUAGGCUAGAUACCGUGAGUUAACGAGGUCGUUUACAUGCACGUGAGUGCACGGAUAUCGGUUAAUUAUUCAAAUUACUGAAAAACACGGAGAAAACCGCAACCGCAUCGUCAUGUGUUUUUCUAAGAUGUAUGCAAACAGGGGAAAUAUCGCCAAACCAACAAUUAAUUUGACCAAAACCUCACAAUAUAUCAUCAUUUGUAUGCACAGAUUGCUGGAUUGGAUGCAUUGUGUGUUGUAAGCUUUUCUUGGCGCUAGAUGUCAGACAGAUGCAAAUGGCAAAUACAUACGAAAGUGUAAAACGUGUAUGGCGAACGUUUUUUUUUUCUGUCAUUAUAGAUGCUAGUUUGGUGAAAGUACACACUGAGUGCUUCAAAUCAUUCAGAAGAGAUGCUGUUUUUAGGGCAGUUUAUUAAAGAAGACCUGACAUGGAUGACUUCCAAUGAGAAACGACUGCUAAUACUUAUAUAAAUUCAUUACAGAAGGACCCUACCAGACUAUAUUUGAAUACGGCAUACCCAUGGAUUCUGGAACUGUUAUUCCUUAACCCAGUUUGGAGGAUAAGAGCUUACCAACUAUAAAUAUGCUGAGGUGAUGUAUUGCAAAAUAACCAACAUACAACAAUUAAAGGAUAAUUGCAGACUACAUCCUGAUGAAGAUAUGGAUGACCCUCUGUCUGGUCAACAGGAGUUUAAAUAUGGACGGGACAGUGAUGUGGCAGCUCUUCCCUGGCUCAUUCACCUCUUGCCUUUCAUUUGUGAAAGGAAGAAAGAAGAAAGAGGGUCAAUGUGCAACUGAAGCUACUGAUUGUGCUGUGUGAUUAGCAUCAAUCCAUGCUUUGAGGGGGAAGAAUCAGCACAGCCCUGCCUGCACUGCGUUGGGAACAGAAGUUGCAUCCAGAAUUUUUGCAUCAUUCUGGACCAAAAAGCCAUUCCCUCCAUGAUGAAGACCACUGAUGCAGCCUUCCACUACAUCAUGAGUAAAACAACUACAGAACUAAAUACCAGGUUGGAACGUAUUUAAGAAAAAUGAAACGUCUUUUGAAUUGAAAUGUCUGUUUUGUUAUGGAAAAAUCUUUAGUAUUGUGAAGGAUAAGCAUUUCUGCCUGCCAGUAAGGUAAUUGCAGUGUAUUUUAAUGUUCAAGUUUUGAGUAGGGUGGCUAAUUUUUUUUAAACUCUCAUUUGAUAUAUUAAAGACCUUUAUAAUAAGUGGUUUUCAUGUCACUGCGCUGUGGUAUAAGAUAACUUUCAUUAUUCCAUACUGUAUUCUGUAUUCUAAUUGUAGCUGAGGUAUUUAAAUAAGCAGUAUUAAAUGCAAAGUGUUGUGUGUAUCAAUGUAAAUAUUAAAUGUGAUGUACUUUAAUAAAAAGAGGUUUUGCAAUA